rnacentral:RNase_P_RNA from 1 species
GAAGCAGGCCGGGCAGUCGCGCCGCGCGAGCGGCGAGGAAGGUCCGGACUCCACAGGGCAGGGUGACGGCUAACGGCCGUGCGCGGUGACGCGACGAACAGGGCCACAGAGACGAGUAUGCGCGGCGCGAGCCGCGCGGACGUGAAACGCGGCAACCUCCACCCGGAGCAACACCAAAUAGGCAGGCGAGGGCGCCGCAAGGCGCCGGGAGCGCGGCCCGCGCGAGCCUGCGGGUAGGUGGCACCGAGCCGGACCGGUAACGGCCGGCCCAGAGGAAUGACUGCCACGUCGGGCAACCGAUGCACAGAAUCCGGCCUACAGGCUUGCUUCGCCC